rnacentral:misc_RNA from 1 species
GAGAAAAAAAAAAAAAAAAGAAAAUUAUCAAGUUACAAAGUUGUAAUAUUUGUCGAUAUUUUACUUUUUUUAAUAAAUUUCAGCCGUUAAUUUUCAAUUGUAUUUGAUGUUAGUCAGUUGAUAUGCAGGUGUGCUUGCUAAUGCUUAUUAAUGAGUUCACCCAUUUUUGAGACCAAGCUUAUCCUCCUAUUUAUUUCCUUUUCUUAUCGUUGGGGUUUUUGAUAAAGCUCUGGUCAAUUGUGAUUUGUGAGUGGUGACUUCUGCCUUUGCUCAACUAGGCGCAAGCAUUCAUCUUGUAAAGAACUUGUUGCCUACACCAUCCGAUCAAUAAUUGACAUAUUUAAAUAAUAAUAGAUCUUGUUAUAACAAUUGUUGAUUAGUUGAGUGUAAAAUAAUUUAUAUAAUAUGAUACAACUAAAAAUUUUCCCAACUCAUAUCCAAGAUAGUUAAACUCGCCUUUCAAAAUUUAGAACAAGUAAGAAGUAUAGAAAUUUAAAUCAUAAAAAUACUCAUGAAAUUAUAAAAUUUUAAAAAAACAUAUAAAAUAAAUAUAACAUAUAUUCAUAUCAUUGUAAAAAU